GACUGGCUUGAGGGCAGAGGUCAUGUGAAGAUUGAACAAAUAAAGGAAGCAGAACUAAGUGCAUAUCGCACACAGUUGAUGUGAGCCAAGUCCCGUAUGAGAGUAAAAACAGCUAGAGCCAAGGACACAUUGUCCUUGGCUCCAAGGUGUUAUCAAUGAUUAGUCCUGGGAACUUGCGGGUGAUGUAAUGCAGAAGUUGCUGGGUAAACCAAAUUGCUGUUACCAAUAAGGAGCUCAGCUUUUGCAAUAUGUAUGAGCCUGAUUAGUCCUAUACUAUAUAAAGAAAGACCACACCUAAUAAAGUUGAAGUACACUGAUCACUCAUAUUGAGCGUCUGGGUCUUCCCUCCGUCGGCUCCUCCCGUGCAAGUUUCCAACAAAUGGCGCCCGAACAGGGACCCUGCCGGUCAGGGACUCGGUGAUUAAAAACUCAGGAGUCGACAGAGUGCUAGAGACAGCUGGUCCUGCUGUGCUAAAGGCAACGAGACACAAAAGGGGGUCUACGUGCCAGAGUUACAGAGGAGGUGGAGAGGACACAAACAAAGGGGGUCCGUGCCCAGGACGAGACGGGGUCCUGCCAGAAAGUCUCGCCGCAGGUCUUGCAAAGGUUGCAACGGUAAGUGAGUAACCACGGAGCGACAAGCGGCUUAUUAUUUAUUAAGAUGCUUUUUAGAAAAGCGAGGUACUCAAGGAAUAGAAUGUCAUAAGGAACUCCCAGGGCUAUUAGCUUACGGAGUGGCUAAGGGGUGUUUUGUUAACCCAGAUACCGAACUCCCAGGGCUAUUAGCUUACGGAGUGGCUAAGGGGUGUUUUGUUAACCCAGAUACCGUGUUCGAACAAACUGAAUGGAAAAAAUUUGGGGACAAGUUGUUUGAUGAAGUAAUAAGUGACAACAAGACAGCAAAAAAGCUGAUGAAGCCGUGGAGGGCAGUUACUAAUGCUCUCGCACCUCAAAAAAAAAAAAAGUAGCUGCCGCCGCCGCGGAGUGUUUGGGAAGCCCCGAUGGGUUCAAGGAACCCCCGCAUGCAGAGGUGUCCCCAUACCCAUCGCCCCCCUCGAUCCGAACCUUUACUAUUGCCCAGGGAGGGUCUGGGAACACAGGCCUGCCAAAAGGAGCAACAUUGACCAUGCGGCUCUCUCUCUCCCCCCUCUCUCUCUCCCCCCCCCUCUUCCCCCCCCCUCUCCCCUCCCCUCUCUCUCCCCCCCUCUCUCUCCCCCCCCCCUUUUUCUCCUCUCCUCCUUCUCCUCUUCCUUUGGCCACAGUUAUCUGAGGACACCCAUCUCAGGCUAUCAAUGUGAAAUAAGUUUUUCUCUAUGAUAUUAAUGGUCAGAAACCACUAAUAAAAGCAGUUUGAAAAAAAAAUUCGGGAAUAAAGGGGGAACCAACCUGACAGAUGUUGGAUUAUAUUUGGGGGACAAAUAUAUUGUUGCCGGGGGACAUACGCAGCAUAAUGAAGUUAAUACUAACACAGCAUCAGCAGCUGCUGUUUAACGCGCAUUGGCACACAGUAUGCCAGGAAGCGGUAGCUGUUAUAAGGGCUCCAGGGGACCCGUUGUAUGGAGUAACCUUAGAUGAGUUGAUGGGGAUAGGCGCGUAUUUCCGCUUAGAAGCGCAGGCCCUGCUGGGACCAGAUAAAGCUAAAGAAUCAAUGAAACUAGCAAGGCGGGCGCUUGAUCAAUUAAAGGAGCCAGGGGGUAUCCCAUCUUAUAUGGGAAUAAAGCAGGGCCGGGAAGAGCCUUUCGGCUUGUUUAUUGACAGAGUAGCCAAUGCUAUACAAGCAGCAGGGGUACCAGAUUAUCUGAAAGGGACUAUCUUGAAACAAUGUGCAAUACAGAAUAGUAACCCUUCAACGCGUAGUAUUUUAGCCACACUCCCGGGAACAUGGACUAUUGAGGAGGGGCUAGAAAGAAUGGCGCAGGUACCUGUAGGACCGCAAGCUAUGCUAGUAGAGGCGGUGAAACAAUUAGGAGAGAGCAUGAGAGAGCAAGCACAGGCGUUGCGGGAUAAUAUGCAACAGAAUCAAAGACAGAUAUUCACUGCCCUUGCUCCUUUGCAAAAUCCCGGCGGAAAUACCCCCCCCGAUCGACGAUCGGCACGCUGCUACUGAUGCGGCGUUGCGGCACGCUGCUACCGAUGCGGCGUUGUUGGUCAUCUUCGCAGAGAAUGCCAAGCUAGUAGAGUAUGGUGUCCCAACUGCAAAAGCAACAAACAUGAUGGAGCGGCUUGUUGGAAGGCUGGCUCGGGAAACGCCCGGAGAAACGGGACGAGCCGCCCCGCGACGACACAAAAGGCGGCCUUCACCACAACAACUCAGCAACCCCCGCAGUUAACACAACCACCUCAGCCGGCGCCCAGCUCCACUCCGAACGGCAUGAAUCCCUUUGUCUUCGACCAGCCACCAGAGGGAGUCUCGGACUGGACUUGGCAACAGCAGUAGACGCCACCUUAUUGGAUACAAAGCCAACAAGAAUCCGGACGAAUGUCUACGGACCAGUAAUUAUUAAUCAUGAGCCAGUAGGUGCCUUACUGAUUGGAAGAUCGUCCGCUACAAUGAAAGGAUUACAAGUUUUGACAGGAUUGAUCGACAAGGACUAUUUCGGGGAAAUACAAAUUGUGGUUUCAGCAAUGUUUCCACCUAUGCACAUACCACAAGGAUCGAGAAUAGCCCAGCUUAUUCCGCUUCCCCACCUGACCGUAGGGGUAGCACCAGCGAAAGAGCAACCACGAGGCUAUGGUGCUUUUGGUUCCACUGGAAGUGCAGUAUUACUGACUGUCGGAAUGCAUCAAAGGCCCCGACAAACUGUGACUGUAAAGUAUAAAAAAGAAUCUAUACGCCUUAAUGCCUUAUUGGACACUGGAGCGGAUGUAUCAAUAAUUAGCACUAAGAUCUGGCCCCAGCAUUGGCCAACCCGAGAGACCAGCUCUACGGUAGCUGGAGUAGGCGGGGUCACCCUCGCCCGAAAAUCAUCGACGCUACAAUGGACUAUAGGGAACAAGGUGGUGAAUUGCUCCGUCUCCAUUUUACCCCUACCUGAAGGAGUGCAAGCAUUAAUAGGGCGCGAUAUCCUUGCCCAGAUGGGUAUGGUGCUUACCUCGGAACACCCUUUAUAGCACCGGCCAUUGCCUGGACUUUCCCAAUCCCACUCAGCUGGAGGACUGAUCAGCCUGUGUGGGUAGAGCAAUGGCCGCUUAAACGGGAAAGUCUCAUUCAAGCACAUGAACUAGUAAAGGAACAGUACAAACAAGGUCAUCUAAGACUAUCUACCAGCCCUUGGAAUACCCCAAUAUUUAUGAUCAAGAAAAAAUCCGGCAAAUACAGACUUUUACACGAUCUACGUGCUGUAAACAGACAGAUGCAUGACAUGGGUGCUUUACAACCGGGGUUACCCAACCCAGCAAUGAUCCCAGAAGGCUGGCACCUGCUAAUCGUAGAUUUAAAGGACUGUUUCUUUACCAUAGCCCUCCAUGAAGAUGAUAAACAGCGAUUUGCAUUUACACUCCCUGCUAUCAAUAGAGAGGGGCCAGACCAAAGAUUUGAAUGGACAGUACUACCGCAGGGUAUGCGAAACUCACCAACCCUCUGUCAACUCUAUGUCGAUGCGGCACUUCAACCGUUACGUCAACAGUGGCCAGAGACCAUGAUAUAUCACUACAUGGACGACAUAUUGCUGGCACAAAAAAAAAACAACCCCUUUUCUCCUGAACAAAAAUUUGAUCUAAUCACACAAUUAAAGAAAAAGGAACUUGUGGUGGCCCCGGAAAAGGUACAGGAAUCCAGCCCCUGGCAGUAUCUAGGUUGGCAUAUUUCGAAUGCCACCAUCAGACCACAGAAAUUGACAAUCAGGACUGACAUAAGAACACUCAAUGAUGCUCAAAAACUAUUAGGAGACCUCCAAUGGAUCCGUCCGGUGGUCGGCAUUCCUAAUGAACUUUUAAAUCUGCUACGCCCCUUGCUGAAGGGAACAGACCCAGCGGCUGCCGUCACGCUCACAGAGGAACAGCAACGGGUACUCCAGGAAAUUGCAUCGCUAAUUACUACGCGUGCUACGCACCGACGCCUGGAAAAUCAGCCACUUGAUCUUACUAUUUUAUGUGGCCCACAAUACCUAAUGGGAGCCAUUACACAACACAAAAUAAAAACGGGGGAAAAAAGAGGGUUGGCGGAACCCAUUGUACUAGAAUGGAUAGCACCACUGUUACAACCAAAACGAACUAUUCAAGAAAAAAUUUCAACACUGGCCGAACUACUUCCAUGAUCAGCGUUGGUCAAAUCUGACUGCAGCAAUCAAACAUAGAAGAAGUGAGAAUCGUCGAGGCAAGCGUGAAUUGAAAAAACUAGGUUCAGAUUGUGCUGAUGAUGUAGAAUUAUGGGGGCCUGCGGAAAGGUUUUUCGCCGCAGCUUUAGCUCCUAACAUUGCAGUUGCGCAUGCCAUGUCUAAUCUAAAUAAACUUGCUUGUUGGGCUGUUAAGCAAUCAAAUGUUACUACACAAAUUCUCUCUGAAAUGUCACAGGAUAUGGAUAGCCUGAGACAUGCAGUGUUGCAAAAUAGAGCAGCUAUAGACUUUCUGCUUUUAGCACAGGGACGCGGGUGUGAGGAUUUUGAAGGAAUGUGUUGUUUUAAUCUUUCUGAUCAUGGACAGUCAAUCCAUGAGCAAUUGAAAUGGCUAAAGGACCACACCCAGAGAAUCACCGUACAGUAUAAUUGGUUUGAUGAUCUGUUUAGAAAGAUGUUUGGUAAUGUGAGUACCUGGAUUUUGAGCUUGAUCAAAGAAGGGCUACGUAUUCUAUUCAUAAUUGUAUUAAUUUUAAUUGCUGUAAGAGUGAUUUUUGGCUGCUUAACACAAAAGCUUGAACAAUUAACUAAAAAGGUCUUUCUCGCACAAAAUAAAAACGGGGGAAUUGUGGAGGACUGGCUUGAGGGCAGAGGUCAUGUGAAGACUGAACAACUAAAGGAAGCAGAACUAAGUGCAUAUCGCACACAGUUGAUGUGAGCCAAGUCCCGUAUGAGAGUAAAAACAGCUAGAGCCAAGGACACAUUGUCCUUGGCUCCAAGGUGUUAUCAAUGAUUAGUCCUGGGAACUUGCGGGUGAUGUAAUGCAGAAGUUGCUGGGUAAACCAAAUUGCUGUUACCAAUAAGGAGCUCAGCUUUUGCAAUAUGUAUGAGCCUGAUUAGUCCUAUACUAUAUAAAGAAAGACCACACCUAAUAAAGUGGAAGUACACUGAUCACUCAUA